rnacentral:rRNA from 1 species
UGCCAGUCGAGCGGAACGAGUUAUCUGACCCUUCGGGGGACGUUAACGGCGUCGAGCGGCGGUACGGGUGAGUAAUGCCUGGGUAAAUUGCCCUGAUGUGUGAGGGAUAACCAUUGUGAAACGAUGGCUAUAUACUCGCAUAUAGUGCCUGUCGGGCCAAAGAGGGGGACCUUCGGGCCUCUGCGCUGUCAGGAUAUGCCCAGGUGUGGUAUUAGCUGAGUUGGUGAGGUAAUGCGCUCACCACAGGCGACGAUCCCUAGCUGGUCUGAGAGGAUGAUCAGCCACACUGGAACUGAGACACGGUCCAGACUCCUACGGGAGGCAGCAGUGGGGAAUAUUGCACAAUGGGCGCAAGCCUGAUGCAGCCAUGCCGCGUGUGUGAAGAAGGCCUUCGGGUUGUAAAGCACUUUCAGCCGUGAGGAAGGCGGGUACGUUAAUAGCAUGAUCGUUUGACGUUAGCUGCAGAAGAAGCACCGGCUAACUCCGUGCCAGCAGCCGCGGUAAUACGGAGGGUGCGAGCGUUAAUCGGAAUUACUGGGCGUAAAGCGCAUGCAGGUGGUUUGUUAAGUCAGAUGUGAAAGCCCGGGGCUCAACCUCGGAAUUGCAUUUGAAACUGGCAGACUAGAGUACUGUAGAGGGGGGUAGAAUUUCUGUGUAGCGGUGAAAUGCGUAGAGAUCUGAACGGAAUACCGGUGGCGAAAGGCGGCCCCCUGGACAGAUACUGACACUCAGAUGCGAAAGCGUGGGGGAGCAAACAGGAUUAGAUACCCUGGUAGUCCACGUCCGUACACGAUGUCUA